rnacentral:tRNA from 1 species
GCCCUCGUAGAGCAGUGGUUAGCUCGCGUGACUGUCACUCACGAGGUCACGGGUUCGAUUCCCGUCGGGGGCGCCA